rnacentral:tRNA from 1 species
GGUGGCUCAGUGGUAGGGCACUUGCCUUGCAUGCAUGAGGCCCUGGGUUCGAUUCCCCAGUACCA